GAGAAUGAUGAGUUCAUAUUUGUCGCACCAGUCUUAGGAUCUGCUUCGGUGGAUCUGUGUCGAUUGACAUACUUAUGAAUCUAACUC
rfam:Triticum urartu cultivar G1812 contig651474, whole genome shotgun sequence.